UACGAAGGGUGCAAGCGUUAAUCGGAAUUACUGGGCGUAAAGCGUGCGUAGGCGGUGGCUUAAGUCUGCUGUGAAAUCCCCGGGCUCAACCUGGGAAUGGCAGUGGAUACUGGGCCGCUAGAGUGUGAUAGAGGAUGGUGGAAUUCCCGGUGUAGCGGUGAAAUGCGUAGAGAUCGGGAGGAACAUCAGUGGCGAAGGCGGCCAUCUGGAUCAACACUGACGCUGAGGCACGAAAGCGUGGGGAGCAAACAGG
rnacentral:rRNA from 1 species